CGGUAAUUCCAGCUCCAAUAGCGUAUACUAAAGUUGUUGCAGUUAAAAAGCUCGUAGUUGGAUUUCUGCGCGGGUGGGGCGUCCGCCGGCCUAAGGUCGGGUUGGGCAGCAACGCCUGUGCAUCCUGCCACGAUCCACGCUACCAUUCGUUUGGUGGCGUUGGGGACUGGCUCGAUUACUUUGAAAAAACUCAAAUGCUCCAAGUAGGUAACUGCCUCUGCAGAUUCUAGCAUGGAAUAAUGAUUAAGGACUUUGGUUCUAUUUUGUUGGUGUUCGGGACCGAAGUAAUGAUUGAUAGGGGCAGUUGGGGGCGUCUGUAUUCUGAAGCGAGAGGUGAAAUUCUUAGACCUUCGGAAGACAAACAGCUGCGAAAGCGUUCGCCAAGGAUGUUCCCUUUGAUCAAGAACGAAAGUUGGGGGAUCGAAGACGAUCAGAUACCGUCGUAGUCUCAACUAUAAACUAUACCAGCUAGGGAUCGGCCAACGUUGAUCUACAAAGACUUGGUCGGCACCUUAUGAGAAAUCGAUAGCAUUUGGGUUCCGGGGGGAGUAUGGUCGCAAGGCUGAAACUUAAAGGAAUUGACGGAAGGGUACCACCAGGCGUGGAGCCUGUGGCUUAAUUUGACUCAACACGGGGAAACUUACCAGGUCCAGACAUAGGAAGGAUUGACAGAUUGACAGCUUUUUCUUGAUUCUAUGGGUGGUGGUGCAUGGCCGUUCUUAGUUGGUGGAGUGAUUUGUCUGGUUAAUUCCGUUAACGAACGAGACCCCAGCCUGCUAAAUAGCGCGCGUGGCUUCUGGCCGCGGCGAGCUUCUUAGAGGGACUACGGUUCGCCAUAGACCGGGGAAGUUUGGGGCAAUAACAGGUCUGUGAUGCCCUUAGAUGUUCUGGGCCGCACACGGGCUACACUGACGCGUGCAACGAGCAUAUCAGCUGGCCCGAGAGGGCAUGGGCUAAUCUUUUGAACUCGCGUCGUGCUAGGGAUUGACCAUUGCAAUUGUUGGUCAUGCAACGAGGAAUGCCUUGUAAACGCGAGUCAUCAACUCGCAUUGAAUACGUCCCUGCCCUUUGUACACACCGCCC
rnacentral:rRNA from 1 species